AGCAAACAGGAUUAGAUACCCUGGUAGUCCACGCUGUAAACGAUGUCGAUUUAGAGGUUGUGGUCUUGAACCGUGGCUUCUGGAGCUAACGCGUUAAAUCGACCGCCUGGGGAGUACGGCCGCAAGGUUAAAACUCAAAUGAAUUGACGGGGGCCCGCACAAGCGGUGGAGCAUGUGGUUUAAUUCGAUGCGACGCGAAGAACUUUACCUACUCUUGACAUCCAGCGAGUCCUUUAGAGAUAGAGGAGUGCCUUCGGGAACGCUGAGACAGGUGCUGCAUGGCUGUCGUCAGCUCGUGUUGUGGAAUGUUGGGUUAAGUCCCGCAACGAGCGCAACCCUUAUCCUUUGUUGCCAGCACGUAAUGGUGGGAACUCAAAGGAGACUGCCGGUGAUAAACCGGAGGAAGGUGGGGAUGACGUCAAGUCAUCAUGGCCCUUACGAGUAGGGCUACACACGUGCUACAAUGGCAGAUACAAAGAGAAGCGACCUCGCGAGAGCAAGCGGAACUCAUAAAGUCUGUCGUAGUCCGGAUUGGAGUCUGCAACUCGACUCCAUGAAGUCGGAAUCGCUAGUAAUCGUAGAUCAGAAUGCUACGGUGAAUACGUUCCCGGGC
rnacentral:rRNA from 1 species